rnacentral:rRNA from 1 species
UACGGAGGGUGCGAGCGUUGUCCGGAAUCACUGGGCGUAAAGGGCGCGUAGGCGGCGCGGGAAGUCAUCGGUGAAAGUUCAGGGCUCAACUCUGAAUCGGCCGGUGAUACUCUCGUGCUUGAGCACUGUAGAGGCAGGUGGAAUUCCGGGUGUAGCGGUGGAAUGCGUAGAGAUCCGGAAGAACACCAGUGGCGAAGGCGACUUACUGGUCCAUGACUGACGCUGAGGCUCGAAAGCGUGGGGAGCAAACAGGG